GCCUCUGUAGCUCAGUAGGUUAGGGCGCUGCACCGGAAUCGCAGGGCCGUAGGUUCAAUUCCUACCAGAGGAC